AACUAUGUUAUCUUCAUCCGAUUGAGCUAAUAUUUGUAAAGAAUCGAUGGGAAUUUUGUUCGCGUACAAACUGUGGUAACGCAUUCCUUUAACCGCUGAAAUUCCAUCAAAAAUGAAAGUUUUUGAAGUAGUUACAGAUGACACACGGCCAUGCCAAGGAAGAUUAGGCAUUCUUUCUAUAGUGGCACCGUGGUAUAAAGCUAAUGACUGAAACCCCAAACAAAUGCCCAUUACUGGGAUAUUUAAUUGCCAAAUACGAUUCAAAAUAGAAGAAUAUUCGGCAGGAUGUCCAGGGCCCGGUCCUACGACAAUGGCAUCAAAUUGAAGUAUGUCUUCCCAUAAAUCAGGACUCAUUUUAUCCCAAUGAACAACAAUAACACAGGCAUUUUCACUUG